AACGAACGCUGGCGGCAUGCCUAACACAUGCAAGUCGAACGAGACCUUCGGGUCUAGUGGCGCACGGGUGCGUAACGCGUGGGAACCUGCCUUUAGGUCCGGAAUAACUCUCCGAAAGGGGUGCUAAUACCGAAUAAUGUCUUCGGACCAAAGAUUUAUCGCCUUUAGAUGGGCCCGCGUUGGAUUAGCUAGUUGGUGGGGUAAAGGCCUACCGAGGCGACGAUCCAUAGCUGGUCUUAGAGGANGAUCAGCCACACUGGGACUGAGACACGGCCCAGACUCCUACGGGAGGCAGCAGUGGGGAAUAUUGGACAAUGGGCGAAAGCCUGAUCCAGCAAUGCCGCGUGAGUGAUGAAGGCCUUAGGGUUGUAAAGCUCUUUUACCCGGGAUGAUAAUGACAGUACCGGAGAAUAAGCUCGGCUAACUCCGUGCCA
rnacentral:rRNA from 1 species